rnacentral:tRNA from 1 species
ACCUGGGUGGCUCAGUUGGUUGAGCAUCUGACUCUUGAUUUUGGCUCAGGUCAUGAUCUCAGGGUUUGUGGGAUCAAGUCCCACAUCGGGCU